rnacentral:tRNA from 1 species
GCCACCUUAGCUCAGCCGGUCAGAGCGGCUGAUUCGUAAUCAGCAGGUCACGGGUUCGAGUCCCGUAGGUGGCUCAA